UUUUUUGUUCAAAGAGCCAAAUAAAGGCAACGACCCUCAAGUCGGCCCAAAUCAAGAUAUGCUGCUCACUCUUUAAGCUUUCCAAUCAGCCAACUUGAACUUGAUAUGAUAGAUGAAUAAGGACAACAAUAGUACAAUAGUAGUCAGUGUUGGAGUCACUGACGAACACUUGCAACACAUAAACACGGUUUGGCUGAAUGAAUAUAGUCCGUCGGUUAGCUACUGUGUGAAAGUACAAAACGCGGCAAAAGCACUUGAAACCCCCAGCAAUGGUUGGAAGGAUGGUGGAAGUGUCUGGGGGUAGUUUAAGUCUAUCGCAAUCAUCAACCCAGCGUCAGUCAACAUUAAUGGCAGACAACGAACCAGACAGUCUUCCCGUCUGCCAGCCAGUUAUCCAGCCAACCAUGAGCAGCCGGAGUAUAUAAAAUAUUGUAAUACAACUUUACGUUUUCCCCUAAAAAAGUAGGUAAAAAUUUAACAUUUCUUUCAUGUGCUGUA